rnacentral:rRNA from 1 species
AAUUUUUGACAAUGGGGGAAACCCUGAUCCAGCCAUCCCGCGUGUAUGAUGAAGGCCCNCGGGUUNUNAAGUACUUUUGGCAGAGNGGAAAAGGUAUCUCCUAAUACGAGAUACUGCUGACGGUAUCUGCAGAAUAAGUACCGGCUAACUACGUGCACGCAGCCGCGGUAAUACGUAGGGUGCAAGCGUUAAUCGGAAUUACUGGGCGUAAAGGUGGGCUGGGGGGUUCGGAAAGAAAGGUGGGAAAUCCCAGGGCUCAACCUUGGAACUGCAUUUUUAACUGCCGAGCUAGAGUAUGUCAGAGGGGGGUAGAAUUCCACGUGUAGCAGUGGAAUGCGUAGAUAUGUGGAGGAAUACCGAUGGCGAAGGCAGCCCCCUGGGAUAAUACUGACGCUCAGACACGAAAGCGUGGGGAGCAAACA